GGGGGCGAGUCCGCUCUGGUGAGCGGCAUGGUCUUCAAAACCAGUGAGGGGCGGUUGAUCCCGUCUCUGGUGGGUUCGAUUCCCACGCGCUCCCGCCA
rnacentral:tRNA from 1 species